UUGGAGGAACCAUAUCACCAUACAUUGCUAGCCUGGCUCUAGUGAUAUCUGGAGAUUUUGGUCCGAUUGUUCCUCUCAUUAUAAUUGGAACUACAAUGAUUGUGGCGGGACUGGCAGCCUUGGUAUUGCCUGAAACUUUAAACAACCCACUCCCUGAUACUAUAGAGGAAGCAUGUCGGAUGAAAAGAGGGAGGAACAUUCGUUAUCACACAGGG